rnacentral:rRNA from 1 species
ACGAGUGGCGGACGGGUGAGUAAUGUCUGGGAAACUGCCUGAUGGAGGGGGAUAACUACUGGAAACGGUAGCUAAUACCGCAUAACGUCGCAAGACCAAAGAGGGGGACCCUCGGGCCUCUUGCCAUCGGAUGUGCCCAGAUGGGAUUAGCUUGUUGGUGGGGUAACGGCUCACCAAGGCGACGAUCCCUAGCUGGUCUGAGAGGAUGACCAGCCACACUGGAACUGAGACACGGUCCAAACUCCUACGGGAGGCAGCAUG